rnacentral:rRNA from 1 species
UACAGGGGGUGCAACCGUUGCUCGGAAUCAUUGGGCGUAAAGCGCACGUAGGCGGUUACUUAAGUCGGAUGUGAAAGCCCUUGGCUCAACUGAGGAAGUGCAUCCGAAACUGAGUAGCUAGAGUACGAAAGAGGGUCGCGGAAUUCCCGGUGUAGAGGUGAAAUUCGUAGAUAUCGGGAGGAACACCGGUGGCGAAGGCGGCGACCUGGGUCGAGACUGACGCUGAGGUGCGAAAGCGUGGGGAGCAAACAGG